CCUACGGGGGGCAGCAGUGGGGAAUAUUGCGCAAUGGGCGAAAGCCUGACGCAGCGACGCCGCGUGAGGGAUGAAGGUCUUCGGAUCGUAAACCUCUGUCAGCAGGGAAGAACGGUCACUGUGCUAAUCAGCAGUGAAUUGACGGUACCUGCAAAGGAAGCACCGGCUAACUCCGUGCCAGCAGCCGCGGUAAUACGGAGGGUGCGAGCGGUAAUCGGAUGUACUGGGCGUAAAGCGCUCGUAGGCGGUAUGUCAAGUCAAGGGUGAAAUCCCCGCGCUCAACGUGGGAACUGCCUUUGAAACUGGCAAACUGGAGUGUGUGAGAGGAUAGUGGAAUUCCAGGUGUAGGAGUGAAAUCCGUAGAUAUCGGGAGGAACAGCAGUGGCGAAGGCGACUAUCUGGCACAUAACUGACGCUGAGGAGCGAAAGCGUGGGUAGCAAACAGGAUUAGUUACCCGGGUAGUC
rnacentral:rRNA from 1 species